CCCCUCGCAAUCGGGGGGCGACCGCGCUAUAUGGGUCGGGCCUCCUUCGGGCGGCUAUGGCGAUAAACGGCUCGUGGAAUAAGCGUUGCGGACCCGGGGGCAGUACCCGGCGCCUCCACCAUUCCUUCCCCGCCUUAUCAGCGGGUUCGGCGAAGCCUCCGGGCUUUUCCGAGGGAAGCAUGGGGGCGAAACAGGCUCGACGCGCGCGGUAAAGACGUGUCUUUUGCCCGGCAUUGUACCGCCGUUAUCGGGCUAAAUCACAAGUGCCAACGAUAAUGGUCGCGAGACCAUGGCGCUCGCUGCCUAGAGAUAGGUAAGCGCCGUCCGGGGGGAACGGGGCAACAGAAUCCCCCCACC
rnacentral:tmRNA from 1 species